rnacentral:rRNA from 1 species
AUACGUAGGGGACAAGCGUUAUCCGGAUUUACUGGGUGUAAAGGGAGCGUAGGCGGCCAGCCAAGUCAGAAGUGAAAUCCCACGGCUCAACUGUGGGCGUGCUUUUGAAACUGGAGGGCUUGAGUACUGGAGGGGCAAGCGGAAUUCCUGGUGUAGCGGGGAAAUGCAAAGAUAUCAGGAAGAACACCGGAGGCGAAGGCGGCUUGCUGGACAGAGACUGACGCUGAAGCUCGAAAGCGUGGGUAUCAAACAGGAUUAGAUACCCUGGUAGUCCACGCAGUAAACGAUGAUUACUAGCUGUUUGCGAUAAACAGUAAGUGGCACAGCGAAAGCGUUAAGUAAUCCACCUGGGGAGUACGCCGGCAACGGUGAAACUCAAAUGAAUUGGCGGGG